CAGUUAUAGUUUACUUGAUAAUCUUUACUUACAUGGAUAACCGUGGUAAUUCUAGAGCUAAUACAUGCGAAAAAACUCGACUUUAUGGAAGGGUUGUAUUUAUUAGAUAAAGAACCAAUAUAAUUGGUGACUCAUAAUAACUUUACGGAUCACAUUAAAUGUGACAUAUCAUUCAAGUUUCUGACCUAUCAGCUUUAGACGGUAGGGUAUUGG
rnacentral:rRNA from 1 species